UUGCCGAUGCUCCUUCUCGCGUUAGAAUUGAAGAAUUUAACGUUAAUGAAGAAACUGCUUCGAAUGUAGCCACAAUCCAUUUCUCUGACGAAGACUCCGGAUACUACUACAACUUAUACUGAACUAACAACUGAGUUAGGGUUUUCACAAGUCUCAUAAAAUUAUAAGUUAUAACGAUUCGAAAACAUAGCAUUGAGAAUUGUAAAUGUGUAAACUCAUUUUUGUAUGAAAUCCAACAACAAUUUUUUUAAACAAGUGUAAAAAUUUAUGAUUUUACGAUGCUAUAUGACGGGUUGUGAGUACCCCAAGUUUAUAAAGGACAUAAUUAAAACUUAUUUUGUUAAACAAAAAUACAACAAUACUUAUGACAGAUGACAGAUGACGACGACUUUGUACGAUUGCAAAACAUUUAUAAUAUACUGAUCACUUCAAACAGAUUUAAAAUUUACAGAACCAUGAAGGAAUUAGAAAAUAUUAAAAAAAUAUACCAAAAUAUUACCACUCUAAUUACGUUAAGGAGAUAACUCAGUGGCGUAGCUACAACUUCGGGCGCCCGGGGCCAAGGAUGUUCUGCCGCCCCCUUUAUCUACCUACCUAAAUAUCUUCGAUAUUAAGUAUAUAAAAUUUAGGAAGGCCACGCAAAUUCUGAAGUUCCAAAAUUCUCACAAUACGGUUUUUGAGGAAAUUGAUAGUAAAUUUACAAGACAUCUUAUUAAAAGCCAUAAAAAAAAUCCAUUUUCGGCCUAUAUCUUGUACACUUUUGACACAAUUUUCAGAAUUUUUGUCCGAAUUGGAGUUUUAAAAAACAGCGAAGAUCGUUUUGCCGCCCCCAAGACCUUGCGCCCGGGGCGACACAAAUACAUCUACUUAGGUUAAAAUAUAUACAUACGAUAACCUAUUGAUAAGAUAUACAUUUUUGCAAUGCAAAUGUACACUUAAAAACAAUCCCAUACCCUGCAAAAAUUCCAUAACCGAUUCUCAAACACAUUCAAGCAUUUUUACCAAUACAUAAAAAAGCAUGUUGAAAAUUUGUAGUAAUGAUUGGCAAAAAGAAACAACAUCAAACUUUCACAUUAUGCUUUAUUCAUUCGCGCAUAUUGUGUGCAUAGGAAUGGAGCAAUGUUUCAUUUUACCGAAAAAGACCAAAACGAAGAAAAUGGUGUUGCCCAAUCGACAAAAUCAAUUAAUUUGCAAAGCUUUUUUAAAAAUUCGGGCAAAUUAGAAGAAGAGAAAGCAAUUCCACCUGUUGUGGCAUCUAUUUUCUUGUCAGUGGCAGCACGACAUAUGUAUCACAAUUAAUUGCAUAUUUACAAGUGAACGCGAAAGCCGCAAAAAGACGCGCGAGUGAAUUAACGAGAACAAAACAAUUACAUCAGAUAACAUAUCUUUUCACUUUAAAGGGCACUUCUGGGGAUAUUGGCGAAGUUAUGAAGCGAGUUUUUGGCGACGAAGUCCUCAGUUUGUUCAAUUGGAAUGGGAGGUGCGGGAAGAAAUCGCUUUCAGAAUUUAAAAUAGUUAGCGUGGCUCUAUUUGAAAUUUUCAAACUGCAUGGACGCAUCGACUUCGAAAAGGAAGUCCGAAAGAGCGUUGAGCAAAGCCACAACAGGCAAAAGCAAAAACGCUAUUUGCUGAACAAAAAAAACUUAUAACAAAAUUGUAAAUUUUUCUUAAAAUACUAAUAUAAAAGAAAACAUACAAA